rnacentral:rRNA from 1 species
CCUACGGGUGGCAGCAGUGGGGAAUAUUGGACAAUGGGGGCAACCCUGAUCCAGCCAUGCCGCGUGUGUGAAGAAGGCCCCCGGGUUGUAAAGCACUUUCAGUGAGGAAGAACGCCUGGUGGUUAAUACCCAUCAGGAAAGACAUCACUCACAGAAGAAGCACCGGCUAACUCCGUGCCAGCAGCCGCGGUAAUACGGAGGGUGCGAGCGUUAAUCGGAAUUACUGGGCGUAAAGCGCGCGUAGGUGGCUUGAUAAGCCGGUUGUGAAAGCCCCGGGCUCAACCUGGGAACGGCAUCCGGAACUGUCAAGCUAGAGUGCAGGAGAGGAAGGUAGAAUUCCCGGUGUAGCGGUGAAAUGCGUAGAGAUCGGGAGGAAUACCAGUGGCGAAGGCGGCCUUCUGGACUGACACUGACACUGAGGUGCGAAAGCGUGGGUAGCAAACAGGAUUAGAUACCCGUGUAGUC